GACGAACCGAGCGAACGUUGUUCGGAAUCACUGGGCUUAAAGGGCGCGUAGGCGGGCGAUCAAGUCGGUGGUGAAAUCCCACAGCUCAACUGUGGAACUGCCUCCGAUACUGGUUGUCUCGAGGAAGGUAGGGGCGUGUGGAACUGUUGGUGGAGCGGUGAAAUACGUUGAUAUCAACAGGAACUCCGGUGGCGAAGGCGACACGCUGGACCUUAUCUGACGCUGAGGCGCGAAAGCCAGGGGAGCAAACGGG
rnacentral:rRNA from 1 species